rnacentral:rRNA from 1 species
AUUGAACGCUGGCGGCAGGCCUAACACGUGCAAGUCGAACGGCAGCGGGAAGUAGCUUGCUACUUUGCCGGCGAGUGGCGGACGGGUGAGUAAUGUCUGGGAAACUGCCUGAUGGAGGGGGAUAACUACUGGAAACGGUGGCUAAUACCGCAUGACGUCGCAAGACCAAAGAGGGGGACCUUCGGGCCUCUUGCCAUCGGAUGUGCCCAGAUGGGAUUAGCUAGUAGGCGGGGUAAUGGACCACCUAGGCGACGAUCCCUAGCUGGUCUGAGGGGAUGACCAGCCACACUGGGACUGAGACACGGCCCAGACUCCUACGGGAGGCAGCAGUGGGGAGUAUUGCACAAUGGGCGCAAGCCUGAUGCAGCCAUGCCGCGUGUGUGAAGAAGGCCUUCGGGUUGUAAAGCACUUUCAGCGAGGAGGAAGGGGUUGAACUUAAUACGUUCAAUCAUUGACGUUACUCGCAGAAGAAGCACCGGCUAACUCCGUGCCAGCCGCCGCCGUAA